GAUCAUGGCUCAGGAUGAACGCUGGCGGCGUGCUUAACACAUGCAAGUCGAACGGGAAACUCUUCAUUGAAGCUUCGGCAGAUUUGGUCUGUUUCUAGUGGCGGACGGGUGAGUAACGCGUGGGUAACCUGCCUUAUACAGGGGGAUAACAACCAGAAAUGGUUGCUAAUACCGCAUAAGCGCACAGGACCGCAUGGUCCGGUGUGAAAAACUCCGGUGGUAUAAGAUGGACCCGCGUUGAAUUAG
rnacentral:rRNA from 1 species